rnacentral:rRNA from 1 species
CAGCAGCCGCGGUAAUACAGAGUGUGCGAGCGUUAAUCGGAUUUACUGGGCGUAAAGCGUGCGUAGGCGGCUUCUUAAGUCGGAUGUGAAAUCCCUGAGCUUAACUUAGGAAUUGCAUUCGAUACUGGGAAGCUAGAGUAUGGGAGAGGAUGGUAGAAUUCCAGGUGUAGCGGUGAAAUGCGUAGAGAUCUGGAGGAAUACCGAUGGCGAAGGCAGCCAUCUGGCCUAAUACUGACGCUGAGGUACGAAAGCAUGGGGAGCAAACAGGAUUAGAUACCCGCGUAGUCCCUGUCUCUUAUAA